rnacentral:lncRNA from 1 species
AUGAUGCAUUCUCGGGCUGGAGCAGUGUGGAUCUGAUCCAUUCCUAACGCUGCCAAAACUGGAACAGGCUCGUGCUGUUUCUUGUCUGGCCAGACCAGGGGGAGGCUGAGAACUGAGUCUGGGGAUGUCAGCUGAGUGAUCCUGUUUCUCCAGAUCAGUUGGACCUUGCAAAGCUUCCCCCUCAUCUCUUGGAGUUCUGCAAGGACCCAUUUGCA